GCCGUGGUGGUGCAGCGGUCAGCACACCCGACCUGGUAUCCUACGUUCGCUUCCUACGCUCGCUUUACCUAAGAUCCUAAUACUCUCUCUCGAGGGUCGGGAGGUCGCAAGUUCGAAUCUUGCUCACGGUG
rnacentral:tRNA from 1 species